AAUGAACGUUGGCGGCGUGGAUUAGGCAUGCAAGUCGAGCGCGAACCCGCAAGGGGGAGAGCGGCAAACGGGGUAGGAAUGAUUGGUGACGUACCCUCAGGACGGGGAUAGCCACGGGAAACUGUGGGUAAUACCCGAUGAUCUUCUCGGUUUGAACACGGAGAUGCAAAGGUGUGAUUCCACCGAAGGAGCGGCCAAUCUGGUAUUAGCUAGUUGGUAGGGUAACGGCCUACCAAGGCUACGAUGCCUAGGGGGUGUGAGGGCAUGGCCCCCACCACUGGGACUGAGAUACUGCCCAGACACCUACGGGUGGCUGCAGUCGAGAAUCUUCGGCAAUGGGCGAAAGCCUGACCGAGCGACGCCGCGUGCGGGAUGAAGGUCUUCGGAUUGUAAACCGCUGUCAGAGGGGAUGAAGUUAGGGUGGGUUCUCCCAUCCUAUUGACAGAGCCUCAGAGGAAGCACAGGCUAAGUAUGUGCCAGCAGCCGCAGUAAUAC
rnacentral:rRNA from 1 species